UCUGUCAAAACAUUGCCUUCAAUACAGUUUUAUUAGGAGUUGUUGAGACGGUGUGCAGAGCUUUGUCCUUUGUGUCCUGCAGUGAUAGUUUUUGUCUGUCACUCGAUUACUUUUGACUGGAUGUGCACACUUAGCCCCUCUGGAGGUUUUAUACCAAUAACAACCAUACAAAUAAUUGAAAACAUUUUGUAUAGAACCUUUUCACACAAAAAAUUUAGCUCAGAUCAAAUCACAGAUCACAAUUAUGUGAAAAGUAGUAAAACUUGUCAACAUAGAGUGUGUAAGAUUCUUAAUGCUAUUUAAUGCAGUGAAGGCUGCAUGUUCUCUAGUUGGCUUGCUACUGUUUAUAUUAUCAACAGCACUCUUUUUCAUGCACAGACAGACACAACAACAUACUAAGACACUGUGAGGACAACAUUUACAGAGUUUUUGUUUUCUUUUAAUCACAAGGAGAAGGAGUUGAGGAUGACUCUUUAACUGAUGAGGUUCAUCCAGUAAGGUCAUGAAAGACGGGAAAUCCAGAGACCUGGAACUUUAACAUCCAGAAAAGUAGGAGAAUGAGGGGCCUGGAUUGAAGAAGGUGAGACAAAUGGGGACACCAUGCCAGUCCGCAACCUGCCAAAGGUUCCCUAAACUCCACUGCAGAAAAGCAGAAGACGCAUCAUAAGAACAAGAUUUCUAAGUAUUUCUGGGGGAAUUUGGACUGGAGAAAUGAUUGUGAAGUCUGCGGCGGAGGGGUGCAGUGUAAAGCGGCGCUGGACAGGAGCAGAUGAAUCCAGGAGGUGUAAAGGAGUGGUGUUUUUUGAAGUGGGCAGGAAGAAGAGGAGAAAGUCAUGAGAAGAUUGAGGACGGGAACGGAAGGAAAAGGUUCUUUAUUGUCACAUACACAUGGUGAAAUUCAUUCUCUGCAUUUAACACUCAUUGCCUCAAGAACCUAAUCUAAGAUGUUUUUGAUGGUGUGGAAAACUGGAGCGCCCACACAGGAAGGAGGAAACCCACACAGACACAGGGAGAACAUGCAUUCUCCACACAGAAAGGCCUGGGAUGACGGGUACGACAAUGAGACCUUCUUGCAGUGAGGCCACAGUGCUUUCUGUAGGCCUUCCAUAAGAUUUUUCUUCUGGACCCUUGGAAAGUUCUAUCGCACUUCUGUAGGUCCUCUUCAUUGAAAGGUGUACCUGGAGCUUGUAAUCAAGUCCAUCGGUCACAUGCACACCGAUUAUAAGCCCUCUUGCAAACAGCCUCUGUCAAUGUAAGUUUUCUCAAACAUUUUCAGUGACUUAUAUAUAUAUUUCCCUUUCACUUAAAGAAAGACCAGUGUGAUGGCUAUUGUUCAUUCAAGCCUGGAAACAUAGAAGCUGCUUCAUGGGACACAAAGGCUGUGAAGAAGGACAAAGAAGAUGCAGAUGAGAAGACCUUGGUGGCGCUCACUCCAAUUCCUCCGUGUGAGAUGACUGGGAAGCCUAUCUGUCCCCAACUCUUAAAAGAAGAAUAUCACCACAGCAGCCCCACUGUGCACAUCCAGCCAGCCAGUUAAAGAGCUGAAGUUCAAACAGCCCCGAGAACUAAAGGUUUUGCCUUAUGGACUGGACCACGAGUGAUGCCCAUCACCAGCUGGAGCCUCACGCAGACGCACACACACUGAUGUACAUAGGCUAUAUUGGUUACAGAUGAUUACUUUUUUAAUACCGUUAAUGGUGUUAAUAUAAUCCCUAAUUGUUCAAAUUAUUAAGUCAAAUAUCUAGUAGUAGUAAAGACUCCAAUCAAUUGUCUCUCACAAAUAGUCUGACAGAUUCUUUAUCCUGGUUGUUCAUAAUUAUAAUAAAAUUUAAUAUAAUUUGU